AUUGAACGCUGGCGGCAGGCCUAACACAUGCAAGUCGAGCGAGCGGCGGACGGGUGAGUAAUGUAUGGGGACUGCCCGAUAGAGGGGGAUAACUACUGGGAACGGUAGCUAAUAACGCAUACUAUCGGAUAACCCAUAUGGGAUUAGCUAGUAGGUGAGGUAAUGGCUCACAUAGGCGACGAUCCCUAGCUGGUCUGAGAGGAUGAUCAGCCACACUGGGACUGAGACACGGCCCAGACUCCAACGGAGGCAGCAGUGGGGAAUAUUGCACAAUGGGCGAAAGCCUGAUACAGCCAGGCGGCGUGUAUGAAGAAGGCCUUAGGGUGGUAAAGUACUUUCAGUGGGGAGGCGUUAACGACAGAAGAAGCACCGGCUAACUACGUGCCAGCAGCCGCGGUAAUUC
rnacentral:rRNA from 1 species